GAUCUCGGCUACAUGUAUGUUAAAAGGCAACUUUGGUCUGCUUUGUGAAACUUCUGACCUGCUGGCUCUAUGACCAGGAAGCUCCUUUUCAAGCAGCACUAACUGCAGAUUGAGAGUCUCAUAUGCAUACACAAGUUUGUCUACCUUGAACACUAUCUCUGUGCACAGUUCUGUGGUGGCAGUACAAGCUCCAGC
rnacentral:lncRNA from 12 species